AUAUAUUGUACCUGAUAAUGCUGUCUAUAGACCCAGUACAAAUGAUAUAUGAUAUACUGUAAGUCAUAAUGCCGUCUAUAGAACCAGUACACACAAUAUAUGAUAUACUGUACCUGAUAAUGCCAGCUAUAGCCAGUACAUAUGAUAUAUGAUAUACUGAUAUCAUUUGUACUGGGUCUAUAGACGGCAUUAUCAGGGCGGUGAACAUUCUGCCAAAUCGCUUUGUGGGUGUUGUCGGGGAGCAUGAGAAUUUUCCCGUGGAAGGGUUGUGCCUGUCACACGACAAAACCCUGCUUGCUAGCUGCUCACAUGACCAGAAGGUCAAGUUCUGGAACAUUGAAGGACUUGAAAAUAUCAAGUUUAACGAGAGGAAGAAGGCAAAGAAAUCCAACAAGAAUAAACGCCUAAAUUCAUCUAAACAGGACAAUUUUUUCUCUGGUUUGGUUGAUGAUGAUAAAAAAGACAAUGUUGGUGAUAGUGACACUGAUGAUGAUGAUGAUGACAGUGAUGAUGAGGGGGAGGAAGAGGAUAGUGAUUGAUUAAACUGUUUUUUAAUUA